CCCUGCUUCCCCGUCGUACUUCCGCAUUCCCCAUUAACACACCGUAGCAUUUAAGCGCCGCAAUAACCAGGUACAGGUAAGCUGUGCUCCUGCUGCUUCAUUGCUUCGGCUUUGUCACUGUUGCUGCCGUUAACCUGACGCUGUCUGAUGCAGCCUCUGUUGCCGCUUGCUUGGUGUCUGCUGGUGGAAGGACCACGGCGAGUUUUCUUUUGUUUUUAGGUAUUAUAUAUUUCUUUAUUUAGUAGUUUCAAUAUAUUUUGGAGUGUUUCUGUGCUUUGGUUAUUAACAGCAUUUUUGUCUCUUCCUUAGAAGCCGUAGGCCACUGCUGUUUCUAUUUGGGUCUAUUUUUGGUUUAAUUUAAGUUAUAUUGUGUUUUUCUUAGGUCUAGUACCUAGUGCUGCAUUUCGUAUUUGUCUUAUUUUCUUUCACUUAGUCUUCUUUUUAUUUUUAGAGCCCUUCUCUCUUUUAAAACACUGAUUUUAUUUUAAUAUUGUGCUCCUUUUUGCCGCAGGGUCUGGUCCGAGCGUGGCUGCCCGGGAAGGUGGAGGGUUUUGGUGAUAGAGUCUCUCACUCCAGCCCCAUCACUCCUUGCGUGACGUGGGAUUUUUGCACACCCCUCACACAUUUUGCAUGCUUUUGUUGUCCUGUUGUUUGCUGUGGAUGUGUGUGUGUCUUACACGGAGCGUAGUGAGUACUCUGUUCCAUAGAAAACUGCGGCCUCUCACCGCGUGCACCCGCGGCCGGCCAGCCCCCCUGGUAUUUGUUAACUUGGUGAGCACAUUGUCCCAAUAGUUUCUUUUUCUUUCCAUAGAUUUUUAGAAUUAAACUUUAUCGUUCUUUUAGUGAUUUUAAUAUUGUUGCCUGUCUUUACAUUUGUUUGUUGUAAAUAAAUUUGGUUAAACUUA